AUUGAACGCUGGCGGCAAGCCUAACACAUGCAAGUCGAACGAGUGGCGGACGGGUGAGUAAUGUCUGGGAAACUGCCUGAUGGAGGGGGAUAAAUACUGGACACGGUAGCUAAUACCGCAUACCAUCGGAUGUGCCCAGAUGGGAUUAGCUAGUAGGUGGGGUAAAGGCUCACCUAGGCGACUAUCCCUAGCUGGUCUGAGAGGAUGACCGUCCACACUGGAACUGGGACACGGUCCAGACUCCUACGUGAGGCAGCAGUGGGGAAUAUGGCACAAUGGGCGCAAUCCUGAUUCAGCCAUGCCGCGUGUAUGAAGAAGGCCUUCGGGUUGUAAAGUACUUUCAGCGGGGAGGCGUUACCCGCAGAAGAAGCACCGGCUAACUCCGUGCCAGCAGCCGCGGUAAUUC
rnacentral:rRNA from 1 species